GUGGGGAAUCUUAGACAAUGGGGGAAACCCUGAUCUAGCCAUGCCGCGUGAGCGAUGAAGGCCUUAGGGUUGUAAAGCUCUUUCAGCUGGGAAGAUAAUGACGGUACCAGCAGAAGAAGCCCCGGCUAACUCCGUGCCAGCAGCCGCGGUAAUACGGAGGGGGCUAGCGUUGUUCGGAAUUACUGGGCGUAAAGCGCACGUAGGCGGAUCAGAAAGUCAGAGGUGAAAUCCCAGGGCUCAACCUUGGAACUGCCUUUGAAACUCCUGGUCUUGAGGUCGAGAGAGGUGAGUGGAAUUCCGAGUGUAGAGGUGAAAUUCGUAGAUAUUCGGAGGAACACCAGUGGCGAAGGCGGCUCACUGGCUCGAUACUGACGCUGAGGUGCGAAAGCGUGGGGAGCAAACAGGAUUAGAUACCCUUGUAGUCC
rnacentral:rRNA from 1 species